GAAGGGCAAGGCAAGGAGCCCGGCUGAGGCUGCGCAGAAAGCUCUGACACAAUUGUGCUUCCUGAUUGUCGCCUCCUGCCUGCAAGCCACUGAACGUUUCCCACUUGAUAUCAUCAUGCAGAAAGGGAGAAGCGAGACGCAAUGAGAGAUUCAGGAUUUACAACAUUGUCAGGAAAAUUCUCUCCCCCUUCCGCAUACAUCCUUUUAUUUACAAUAGAAGUAAAGAAAAGAGUUCAGUGCUUCACCUGUAACGUCUGUCAGUUUUCAACAGUGGUGACACUUGUACAGCAGGCAAGAAAAUGAGGAUGAAGGAAAAUGAGGACAGUUAUUUUGUAUGGAAAAAGCUGUUUUGGCCACCCCUGGCAAAAGCACUUGUAUGCAAGUCACAUAGUCUCCUUGGAAGAUUUGGCCAAUGCUUUGGAAUGUCCACAUUGAUGCC
rnacentral:lncRNA from 1 species